AUUCCAGCUCCAAUAGCGUAUAUUAAAGUUGUUGCAGUUAAAAAGCUCGUAGUUGGACUUCUGGGCCGUUUUGUUGGUCUGCCGCAAGGCUGUACUAGCGGGAUGGCCCAUCCUCUCGAAGGCUGGGGGUGCUCUUAACUGGGUGCUUUCAGAACUCGGGAUCUUUACUUUGAAAAAAUUAGAGUGUUCAAAGCAGGCUUACGCUUGAAUACAUUAGCAUGGAAUAAUGGAAUAGGACUUUGGUUCUAUUUUGUUGGUUUCUAGAACUGAAGUAAUGAUUAAUAGGGAUAGUUGGGGGCAUUAGUAUUUAAUUGUCAGAGGUGAAAUUCUUGGAUUUAUGAAAGACUAACUUCUGCGAAAGCAUUUGCCAAGGAUGUUUUCAUUG
rnacentral:rRNA from 1 species